ACGGGAGGCGCAGUGGGGAAUAUUGCACAAUGGGCGAAAGCCUGAUGCAGCGACGCCGCGUGAGUGAAGAAGUAUCUCGGUAUGUAAAGCUCUAUCAGCAGGGAAGAUAAUGACGGUACCUGACUAAGAAGCCCCGGCUAACUACGUGCCAGCAGCCGCGGUAAUACGUAGGGGGCAAGCGUUAUCCGGAUUUACUGGGUGUAAAGGGAGCGUAGGCGGCGUUGCAAGUCAGAUGUGAAACCCCGGGGCUUAACUCCGGGACUGCAUUUGAAACUGUGAUGCUAGAGUGCGGGAGAGGCAAGCGGAAUUCCUAGUGUAGCGGUGAAAUGCGUAGAUAUUAGGAAGAACACCAGUGGCGAGGGCGGCUUACUGGACCGUAACUGACGCUGAGGCUCGAAAGCGUGGGGAGCAAACAGGAGUAGAUACCCUGGUA
rnacentral:rRNA from 1 species